UGGCACAAACAUGCAUGCAACACUGCACCAAGCCCAGAUCAAUAUUUGGAUCUAACUUAGCAUUAGCAGAUGAGUUGGUGCAAGAGUGAUUGGAGUUUUUUCAAAAAAAUUCAUAUGCUCAUCAUCAGUAUAACCUUAAAGGCCAUUGAUCUCCUCCACCUCACCUUUCCAGUGGUCUUCAAAAGGGGUAAGCCAGGAAGCAAAUGGAGAAGGAGCAGCAGCACAUGACUGCUAUAGACCUGACCAUGGAGAUGCAGCAUAAAGCGAAUGUAAUGUGCAGUGAAUUAUUCCAAUUCCUGAAGAUUAGACACUCAGCAGGGAGAAGGUGGGGUAGCUGAGUGCAGAAGAAGGCGAAGUUGGAUGAGCAUCGGUGUUGCAGCAGUCACUCAGGUACUGCAUUACUGACAAUACAAAAAGAGAGCAUUAGAAAUGCUGGAGUGGCUUUGUGCAUGGAGUACCGACAGCACCAGGUUCUCCCCCUCCUCCCCAAGAGGAGCUCGGAAUGAAGCUGUAAUAGGAAGGAAGAGGAUUAUCUCAGGUUACCCUUCUUCAAGUGCCACAGUCAUGUUUCUCAGUGUCCCCACUGCCAGGUUGAAGGAAGAGUGGGGAUGGCCCUGUCCCGCAGCCUGCCUGCAGCCAGGAAGAAACAAGCAGAGAAAAUCGUAAGAGAAGUACAGAAGAAAACCAGAGUUUUAAUGUUUUCAAGCAAGCAAGGACAUGCCUACACCUGACAAGAGAAUAACCUUCAGUCUGAAACUCUUCUUGAUCCAAGGUAUAAAUCAGAGAAAAGUCUGAUGAACUGCACCAGCAGGGGAAAAUGUAUGAGAG